AGACAGGGCCGAUCCAGACGGAAAUAAAAUCCCCAAAGAGCACAUGUAAAAUAGGAAAUUACCCCAUGGACCCCUGUACAUCUAAUCCUGUCUGGACAGGGUGUUAGUGCUAGUACUGAUGAGGUGAGAGGUGGGCGUGGCGCUCGGAUCUCCACCUGGUUUGGCGCUUGGCUGAGUUUUGCCCCUUAGGGCUUUCCAUACUGAGUUUCAGAACUCUUCACUUCAGCGGGUAAGAAGCGCCCGAUUUCCUGGUACGAGGCACAAUGGGCAUUUCUUUGAACUGGGGGAGAAUGACUCGAAUAGACGAGAGCGGAGAUGAAAACAGGUCAUGAGUGCAGUGGGGAUAACAUCUGUGGAUGAACAGCCUCACCCGGAGCUCACCUGUCUACCACAAACCAGCCUCGCAGUAUGAAGUCCACAGUGUUAUCGCACAGAAAUAGCCUGGCAGCACACAGACCGAAAACAGCACCAAACACACCGCCCUUAAGUGAAAGCACCUCAACACAUUUAGUUUGAAAAGCCCUGAGACGUAAACUGAGCCAAAUGACGGAGAUGACGUGCUGACGGAAACAUGAUGUGUUCUGGAGAUGUGGACUAAAGAACAACAAAAAAAAGAAAAGAAAAGCUGGAUUUAAUGCACAAAAUAUUUUGAUCUAGGUAUUAAUAGAAUAAAUUAGUAAUCUAUUGAGCGCUGAGUCUGUGUUCUUUGUGCUUGGGUGAUUUUUUUUUAAUGCUUUCUACAUGCACUUCUGGCAAAUGAAUGUAAGACACACCCCUUAGCCACUGUUUUUUUUUUUUUUUGUUUUGUUUUGAUUAUAUGCAGUGAGAAAACCAAAACCAACCAAAUCGAAAUAAAAGUAUCAGUUUCACUCUGAUUCAGACUUGACCCCAGAAUCUGAGCAGUAAUGAGCAAGCCGGAGGCGAGAGUGGCAAGGAAAAACUCCCUGAGAAGUCAUGAGGAUUUUUAACGACCACAGAGAGUCAGGACCUCGGUUUAACGUCUCAUCCGAAACACGGUGCUGUUUUACAGUAUAGUGCCCCCAUCACUAUACUGGGGCAUUAAGCCCCAAAUAGACCACAGAGUGAGCACCCCCUGCUGGCCUCACUAAUACCACUUCCAGCAGCAACCUUAGUUUUCCCCAGUAGGUCUCCCAUCCAGAUACUGACCAGGCUCAACCCCGCUUAGUGUCAGUGGGAAACCAGGCGAGAGCUGCAGGGAGAUAUGGCUCUGGCAUGCCGUAAAUGAAUACAGGUCAGUCUUAAAGUCUUUUAACGAGAUCACUCACUGAAGCAAGUUUUCAUUAAGAUAUUACUAUACCAUUAUUUGUCUCGUGCUAAAGAAAGGACUGAAUAUAUUUCCCUAGCUACUGUCUGGCUACUCUCUCUCUGGUUGGAUAAGACGUGUCUUUCGACAUUGAUUAUUAGACUAGCGCACAAACCCUA
ensembl:lncRNA